rnacentral:rRNA from 1 species
UACGUAGGGUGCAAGCGUUAAUCGGAAUUACUGGGCGUAAAGCGUGCGCAGGCGGUUGUGCAAGACAGAUGUGAAAUCCCCGGGCUCAACCUGGGAACUGCAUUUGUGACUGCACGGCUGGAGUGCGGCAGAGGGGGAUGGAAUUCCGCGUGUAGCAGUGAAAUGCGUAGAUAUGCGGAGGAACACCGAUGGCAAAGGCAAUCCCCUGGGCCUGCACUGACGCUCAUGCACGAAAGCGUGGGGAGCAAACAGG